CCCAAAGCCGACGAUCUGUAGCUGGUCUGAGAGGACGACCAGCCACACUGGGACUGAGACACGGCCCAGACUCCUACGGGAGGCAGCAGUGGGGAAUUUUGGACAAUGGGCGCAAGCCUGAUCCAGCCAUGCCGCGUGCGGGAAGAAGGCCUUCGGGUUGUAAACCGCUUUUGUCAGGGAAGAAAUCCUUUGGGUUAAUACCUCGGGGGGAUGACGGUACCUGAAGAAUAAGCACCGGCUAACUACGUGCCAGCAGCCGCGGUAAUACGUAGGGUGCAAGCGUUAAUCGGAAUUACUGGGCGUAAAGCGUGCGCAGGCGGUUAUGCAAGACAGAUGUGAAAUCCCCGGGCUCAACCUGGGAACUGCAUUUGUGACUGCAUAGCUGGAGUGCGGCAGAGGGGGAUGGAAUUCCGCGUGUAGCAGUGAAAUGCGUAGAUAUGCGGAGGAACACCGAUGGCGAAGGCAAUCCCCUGGGCCUGCACUGACGCUCAUGCACGAAAGCGUGGGGAG
rnacentral:rRNA from 1 species